rnacentral:lncRNA from 1 species
GUUGGUUCAUUUAUAUACUAUAGGGUUAAGUGUGGGGUCCAUUUUACUGAACUAGUGUACAUUAUUGUUUAGGGGCCAACUGAAGCGUGCCUCAGAAUGCGAGGUGAACUUGCAGCAUUGAAGACCCAUUUGUGGCCUUGGGCUGCUCUCUUAAACUAAAAAAAAAAAUAUUACAUGUUAAAGUAUGCUUUCUUGUAAUGUUGAUCAAUAUGACCAUGAUUACACCACA